UUUUUUUUUUGUNUUUUUUUUUUUUUUUUUUUUUUUUUUUUUUGGCUGUGCAAGUUCCCAGGCCAGGAAUCGAACCCAUGCCAAAGUAGCCACCACAGUCACUGUAGUGACAAUGCUGGAUACUUAAACUUCUGAGCCACCAGGUAACUCUGACACAGAGCUCUUGUUAUUACACUCAACAUGUAUGGGCAUCCAAGCUCAGAGAAGAGAGGUGUGGCCAAGAUGAAGGAGACUUAUCCCCUAUAAGCACCAAAAUUACGACUAUUAACAGAGAAACUAUUGAUGAGAAAAACCAGAAGACUGGUGGGAAAGAUCUUCCACAACUCCACAAAGAUAUAAUGAAGGAACCAAACCAGACAGGUAAGAAAGGCAAAGACAAAGUAUAGUCAAAACCCAUACCUCUAGGUCGGUGACACAUGAAUGGGAGGAUAAUGCUGUUACAGACAUUCUUCUCCAGAAGUGAGGGGUCCGAGUUCCAUGUUGGGAUCCCCAGCCUGAGGGUCCUGCACUGGGAAGACAAGCUCCCAGAACAUAUAGCUUUGAUGGCCAGUGGAGCUUGCAUACAGGAGAGCUAGAGGGCUGUAUAAAACAGAGACUCCAUUCUCAAAGGACUCACAUAAAAAUUGCAUGCACUCAGAGUCCUGGUGCAGAGACAGUAAUUUGAAAGGAUCCCUGGGUCAUACUCAUUGAUCUUAGAGAGGCAGGAGGUAACUGGGAUUUCCCCUGGGGACAUAGAUGCUGGUGGCAGACAUUCUUAGGAGCUCAUCCUACCCUAAGGACACUGGUAUAGCAAGUGCCAUUCUGGAGUCCUCUGCCUAGCCUAUUACUGCGGGGGGCUUACCCACCAACCUGCAGGCCCAGGAUCUAGCCCCAUCCCACUAGCCCAGGUCCCCAGUUUCCUGCAGCCAGCUGCCCUGGAACUCAGCCCUACCUAUAAAUGGACUAGCAGCUUCCACAAGAGGAAGGCCUGACAGAAAACUGGGGUGAGGAUCAGCCCAAUCUACCAGUGUGUCCACAGUAGUUGGCUACCCCACAACAAAAUGGUCUACAGAGGACACAUGGGGCCACACCUAGAACAUAUAUUUCCAGCGGCCAGAGAGGUGUGUGCUUUUGAGCCCAUUAGUUGUCUCCUAAAUAAGCCUGCUUCUCCAAGAUCAGAAAAUGUAACUGAAAUACCUAAUAAAUAGAGACAAAACAGAUAAUUAGACAGAAUGAGGUGACUGAGGAAUACGUUCCAAGUAAAGGAACAAGCUAAAACCUCAGAAGAAGAGCUAAGUGAAGUAGAGUUAAGCAAUUUACCCCAAAAAGAGUUCAAGGUAAUGUUGAUAAAGGUGCUCUAUGAAUUUGAGAGAAGAAUGGAUGAACACUGUGAGAAUUUUAGCAAACAUAAACAAGAACCAAACAGAGCUGAAAGAUAUAAUACUUGAAUAAGGUCGUCCUUCCUGGCCUGAGUUGUCUUUCGCAUCCACACGUGUCCUCCGCAGCCCAAAUGCUGCAACUGCAGCGCUGCCUGCCCCGUGCCCUGAGCACCGGUAUCGCUGGCCUCUGGAUCGCCAUGCCCUCCCAGCCGCUUCCCGGCUGCUGCAGCCUCCGCCCCGUCCCUUCGCCUGGCCCUUUGUGCACGGAGUUAGUGCAGCCGCCCAGCUCCCUGCGGCCUCGGGGGCCCUGCGCCUGUGGCUGUUGCUGUGGCUGUGGCUGCGGCUGCAGGCGGGCUGCACACCGAAGGGGACAAGGCUUUUGUUGAAUUCCUUGGUGAUGAGAUUAAGGAAGAGAAGAAGAUAUAGAAGCCUAAGUCUCUCCCCAAGAUGUCUGGAGGUUGGCAACUGGAAGUGAAUGGGACAGAAGCCAAAUUAGUGAGGAAAGUUGCUGGAGAAAAGCACCUUAAGCAUUAACAAUAGCAUCCCACCCCUCUAUGGGGAGGAGGAGGAGCCCUCGGAAGUUCAGAAAGUUGAAGAACAGGAGCCUGAACUGACGUCCACUCCCAGCUUCACGGUUGAAGUGAUAAAGGAUGGUAGCAAGAAGGCCCUUGUGCUGGACAGUCACUAUCCAGAAGAUGAGAUUGGACAAGAAGACAAGGUGCAGAGUGACAUUUUCUCUAUCAAGGAAGUGAGCUUUCAAUCCACAGAUGAUUCUGACUGGAAGGACACAAUUACACACUCAGCACAGACUUGCUGUACUGGGGCUUCUAUGACCACCUAAUGGAUUUCCUUGUGGACAACACUUUUGCUGACGAGUUGGUGGAGCUCAGCACAGCCCUGGAGCAUCAGGAGUACAUUACUUUUCUCAAGGACCGCAGAGCUUUCAUCAAAAGCCAGUAGGCAGACAAGGCGCUAGACACCUUGACUUUGUGGCAGGCUUUAGCUGGUGAACAAAAACCUACUCUGAAGCCAGACCCACGUGCUUUGAAAUGGUAUUCAUCCCACUAUCAUGGAAAAUAAAUUCCAUUUUAACUUAUUUCUGUUGCCUCAUAUUUGCCAUUCAUUUAUUCUCUACAAAUGUGUUAUUUCUAGAUUUUUGUAUUAACAUGAUGAUGGACAAUAAAACCUCAAAGGUGGUUUCUAUAAAAUAAAUAAAUAAAUGAAUAAAAAAUACAUCAUAAGGAAUCAGUAAUGGAUUAGAUGAUACAGAAGUAUGGAUCAGCAAACUGGAAGACUGCAUUUUUGUUUUGUUUGGGUAAUACAACUUCAGAAGUUCUCCUCCAGAAGUGAGAGGUCUGAGUCCCACAUUAGGUUCCCCAGCCUAGGGGUCCUGCACUGGGAAAUCACUGAAGCAGAACAGAAAGAACAAGAAAUGGAUAAAUUCCUAGAAAUGUAAAGUCUCCCAAGACUGAAUAGGGAAGAAAUAGAAAAUAUGGACAGAAAUAUGAUUAUCAGUAAUGAAAAUGGAUCAGUAAGCAAAAAACUCCUAACAGACAGAUUCACAGGUGAAUUCUAUUAAACAUCUAGAGACGAGUUAACACCAAUCCUUGUGAAAGUCUUACAAAAAUAUUGAAGAAGAAGAAAUGCUUCUGAACUCAUUUCAUGAGGCCAGCAUGACCCUGAUAUCCAAACCAAAGAUACCACACACAAAAAAGAAAGAAAAUUACAGGCCAAUAACUCUGAUGAACCUAAAUGUAAAAAUCCUCAACAAGAUGGCAAGCAAACUGAAUUUAACAAUACAUUGAAAGGAUUACACAAUGUUAUCAAGUGAGUUUUCUCCCAGGGAUGCAAGGAUGAUUCAGUAUUCACCAGUCAAUCAAUGUGUUACUCCACAUUACCAAAACAAAAGACAAAAGUCCCAUGAUCAUCUCAAUAGAUGCAGAAAUAGUUUUAACAAAAUUGAAUAUCCAUUCUUUAUUAAAAAAAUCUCUCAACAAAACAGGUGUAAAGGGAAUAUAUCUCGACAUUAUAAAGGCUGCUUAUGACAAACCCACAGCUAACAUACUCAAAAGUGAAAAUUUAAAAGCAUUGCCUCUUGCCAUUUGCAGCAACAUGGAUGAAACUAGAAACUCUCAUACUAAGUGAAGUGAGUCAGAAAAAGAAUGACAAAUACCGUAUGUUAUCACCCAUAUCUGGAAUUUAAUAUGUAGAACAAAUGAAUCUAUCUACAGAAAAGAAAAAAACUCAUGGACAUGGAGAACAGACUUGUGGUUGCCAAGGGGGAGGGGGAGGGAGUGAGAUAGACUGGGAGUUUUGGGUUAGUAGAUGCAAACUAUUGCAUUUGGAGUGGAUAAGAAAUGAGGUCCUGCUGUAUAGUACAGGAAACUAUAUCCAAUCCCUUGUUAAGAAACAUGAUGGAGGAUAAUGUGAGAAUAAUAAUGUAUAUAUAUCUACAACUGGGUCACUGCUGUACAGCAGGAACAUUGUAAAUCAACUAUAAUAAAAUUUUUUAAAAAGUGAAAAUAAAAAAAUAAAUAAAAGCAUUGCCUCUAGGAUCAAGAACAAGACAAGGAUGUCCAUUCUGGCCACUCGUCUUCGAUAUAGUAUUGGAAGUCCUAGUACAGCAAUCGGACAAGAAAAAUAAAUAAAUGGAAUCCAUAUUGGAAGGGAAGAAGUAAAACUGUCACUAUUUGCAGGUGACAUGAUACUAAUAUAGAAAACCUGAGAGACUCUGUCAAAGAUCUAUUGGAACUAAUAAAUGAAUUCAGUAACUUGCAGGAUAUGAGAUUAAUAUACAGAAAUCUGUUAAUUUCUGUAUGUUAACAAUGACCUACCAGAUGAAGAAGUUAAGAAAAAAAUCCCAUUUACAAUUGUAUCAAAAAGAAUAAAAUUCCAAGGAAUAAAUCUAGUCAAGGAGUUAAGCAUCUUGUACUUAGAAAGCUAUGCCCACUGAUGAAAGAAAUUGAAGAGGACACAAACAAAAAGAGAGGUAUUUUUGUGCUCAUUGAUUGGAAGAAAUAAUAUUGUUAAAAUGACCAUACUCCUUAAGGCAAUCUACAGAGUCAAUGCAAUCCUUAUCAAAAUAUCAAUGGCAUUUUUACAGAACUAGAACAAAUAAUUCUAAAAUUUGUAUGGAAAUACAAAAGGCCUCGAAUAGCCAAAAUAAUCUUGAAAAAGAAGAACAAAGCUGGAGGCAUCAUGUUCCCUGAUUUCAAACUAUACUGCAAAGCUACAGUAAUCAAAACAGUAUGGUACAGGCACAAAAAUAGAGACAUAGGUCAAUACAACAGAAUAGAGAGCACAGAAAUAAACCCACAUUUAUAUGGUCAAUUAAUAUAUGACAAAGGAAGCAAGAAUAUGUAUUUGUCAGAAUGGAUAUCAUUAAAAAGACAGAAAAUAAGGGUUGGUGAGGACAUGGAGAUAAGGUAACACUUGUGCACUCUUAGAGGAAUUGUAAAUUGGUGCAGCCACUAUGGAGGUCCCUCAAAAUUAAAAAAAUAGAAAUACCAUAUAAUUUAUCAAUUUCACUUCUGGGUAUUACUGAAGGAAAAUAAAAACAUUAUAUGAAUAGUUAUAUACACCGUAUAUUCAUUGCAGGAUAUUACAAUAGCCAAGAUAUAGAAGCAACCUACAUAUUUGUCAAUGGAUGAAUGGAUAAAGAAGAUAUGGUAUAUAUAAACAAUGAAAUAUUAUCCAGCCAUAGAAAAGAAGGAAAUCUUGCCAUUUGGACAAUAUGGUUGGACAAAGAGGGUAUUAAGCUAAGUGAAAUAAAUAAAAGACAAAUACCAUAUGAUUUCACUUAAAUGUGGAAUAUAAAAAACAUAACAAACGAACAAAUGUAGCAACACAAACAGACUUGUAUUUAUAGAGAAUACACAGGUCACUGUAGGAGGGCACAGCAAUGAGUGAAAUAGAAGAGGGAGAUUAAGAAC
rnacentral:lncRNA from 1 species